GAUGAACGCUGGCGGCGUGCCUAAUACAUGCAAGUCGAGCGAACAGAUGAGGAGCUUGCUCCUCUGACGUUAGCGGCGGACGGGUGAUUAACACGUGGAUAACCUACCUAUAAGACUGGGAUAACUUCGGGAAACCGGAGCUAAUACCGGAUAAUAUAUUGAACCGCAUGGUUCAAUAGUGAAAGACGGUUUUGCUGUCACUUAUAGAUGGAUCCGCGCCGCAUUAGCUAGUUGGUAAGGUAACGGCUUACCAAGGCAACGAUGCGUAGCCGACCUGAGAGGGUGAUCGGCCACACUGGAACUGAGACACGGUCCAGACUCCGACGGGAGGCAGCAGUAGGGAAUCUUCCGCAAUGGGCGAAAGCCUGACGGAGCAACGCCGCGUGAGUGAUGAAGGUCUUCGGAUCGUAAAACUCUGUUAUUAGGGAAGAACAAAUGUGUAAGUAACUAUGCACGUCUUGACGGUACCUAAUCAGAAAGCCACGGCUAACUACGUG
rnacentral:rRNA from 1 species